rnacentral:rRNA from 1 species
GACGAACGCUGGCGGCGUGCUUAACACAUGCAAGUCGAGCGGUAAGGCCCUUUCGGGGGUACACGAGCGGCGAACGGGUGAGUAACACGUGGGUGACCUGCCCUCAGCUCUGGGAUAAGCCUGGGAAACCGGGUCUAAUACUGGAUAUGACUCCAUGACGCAUGUUGUGGGGUGGAAAGCCUUGUGCGGCUGAGGAUGGGCCCGCGGCCUAUCAGCUUGUUGGUGGGGUGANGGCCUACCAAGGCGACGACGGGUAGCCGGCCUGAGAGGGCGACCGGCCACACUGGGACUGAGACACGGCCCGGACUCCUACGGGAGGCAGCAGUGGGGAAUCUUGCGCAAUGGGCGAAAGCCUGACGCAGCGACGCCGCGUGAGGGAUGACGGCCU